rnacentral:rRNA from 1 species
GGCUAUGGCCAUGCCAUCCUGAACGUGCCCUAUCUCGUCUGAUCUCGGAAGCUAAGCAAGGUUGGGCCCGGUUAGUACUUGGAUGGGAGACCACCUAGGAAGACCGGGUGCUGUAGGUG